rnacentral:rRNA from 1 species
AUGGCGCAGUACAGGCAAUCCGGCGGUGGCUUCUUCGACUCCCGUGGCGGCGGGGCCCACCACCCGCUCCCGGACUACCACCGGGCACACCCCUCCAAACCCUCCCGGAUCCGCCGCCCCGGCAAACCCGCGCGCCGCCGCUCGCCGGCCGUUGCCGCAGCUGCCGCUGCAGUCCUGCUCCUCGCUGGCGUCUUCAUCCUCUCGCGCCGCCUCUCUCGCGACCCCGCAGAGAUCGGAGAGGAUUCGGGUGGCGGGGAGGGUUUGCCGGAGUGGAACCGGAGCAAGAACUGGAAGGAGCUCAAGUUCGGCCAUGGCGGUGGUGGCAGGAGUGCGCGGGAUUCCAGGUACUGGGACCAGGACGAUCGACGGCGCGACGAAGACUACUCGGAGGACGAGAAGGAGAAGGUCUUCGGUGCAGGUGGAAACACUGCUGAUGCUCGUGGUGGCAGUGAGAAAAGCGUGAGCUCUGAUCCCGGUAUUGAGGAGAAAGGGUUGACCUUGGAUACCAGGGGUGGUGCUGACAAGGAGGUUCCAGAGUUGGCUGAAGGGGGGAAAGGAGGCACCUUGUACAAUGAGGGUGGCAGGAAAGAGCUGGAGCAGUAUGAGGCGGCUUCCAUGGGAGUGGUGGGCACGGGGAUGAGGGAGGUUGAUCCAGAUGAUGAGUAUGAUGAUGGCAUUGAUGAUCCCGAUGAUUCUCAGAUGCAUUCUGCCGGUAGGAAGCUUGGUGAUGGUAUUCAUGAGAACAUAGGGAAGGAAGAGAGUGCUGCCUUGGAGAGACACAUGAAAGCAGGUGGAAGGAUUAGUGAUGGCGGUGAUGCUGUUAACACGGAUCAAAAGAAAGCUUCGGGUACUGGUGAUAAGAAACAUGGGUCCAAGAAGAAACCAAAGCGUAAAAAGUCUGGUUCAACUUGUGAAAUGAAGUUCCUGAACUCCACUGCUCAACUUGUAGAGCCUGCAAAAAAUGAAAAAUUUGCUAGCUUUAAGUUGGAAUAUGUAGAGAUUGAACAAAAACCAGCUGGAUCAGAAAAUUGGGAGCCAAGAUUUGCUGGCCACCAGACUCUACAGGAAAGGGAGGAGUCAUACGUAGCUCAUGACCAACAACUGACAUGUGCUUUUGUUAAGGGGCCUAAUGGAUCAAGCACUGGUUUUGAUAUAUCUGAGGAUGACAGGAAGUACAUGAGCAAAUGCCGCAUCGCUGUAUCUUCCUGCAUCUUUGGAAACUCUGAUCGUCUGAGGACUCCAUUUGGCAAAACAAUUACAAGUCUCUCAAAGAAGACAGUUUGUUUUGCUAUGUUUUUGGAUGAAGUCACAUUGCAAACUUUGCUAUCUGAAGGCCAAAAAAUGGACAACAUGGGUUUCAUUGGUGUAUGGAAGAUCAUAUUGAUUAAGAAUAUGCCUUAUAAUGACAUGCGGAGGGUUGGGAAAAUACCAAAACUUUUGGCGCAUCGACUUUUCCCAUCGUCAAGAUUCUCGAUCUGGCUGGACAGCAAAUUGCGACUACAAACAGAUCCUAUCCUUAUCCUAGAAUAUUUUCUUUGGCGGCAUGGUUAUGAAUAUGCUAUUUCCAAUCACUAUGAUCGACACUGCGUAUGGGAGGAAGUGGCACAAAAUAAAAAGCUGAACAAGUUCAAUCAUACAAUAAUUGAUCAACAGUUUGAGUUUUACCAAGCUGACGGACUGACAAGGUUCAACUCAUCGGAUCCCCACAAGCUGCUACCAAGCUAUGUCCCUGAAGGUUCUUUCAUCGUGAGGGAACACACACCGAUGUCCAACUUAUUCUCUUGUCUGUGGUUCAAUGAGGUUGAUCGCUUCACACCUCGUGACCAGCUCAGCUUUGCAUAUACAUACUUGAAGCUUAGAAGAAUGAAUCCUAAGAAGUCGUUUCGCCUCAAUAUGUUUAAGGAUUGUGAGAGACGAUCAAUGGCAAAACUAUUUCAUCAUCGAUCGGAAGAGAGACAUAGCAGUGGACAGCUAACAAGAUAA